AGGAUGGUGGGGAGGACGCAGGGAGGAUGGUGGGGAGGACGCUGGACUGGGUAUUAAAGGUCAGGAGAAGGGCUACAUCCCAGCACGUUGCUACACUGGGGGGCGGGGGAGGACCCUGUUCUACCGAGAGCAUGGCUGACGGUGCAGGACAGAGCGCGGGAACCUCCUGGAGCCGUGUCCUGAGCAGGUGAGAGGGACGGUACUCACGGGGCCACCGGAGGGGCAGCUGUGGGCACGGUGUGUGGCCUCCUCUGAGGAUGGAAGCGAGGCCACCGGCGGAGAGCGUUGAAAGUGUCUCACACACAGGAAAGAGUGCCCUCGAGGUGCCCCCACACACUUGGACACGCCCGUGAAGGAAA